UACGGAGGGUGCAAGCGUUGUCCGGAUUUAUUGGGUUUAAAGGGUGCGUAGGCGGCCCGUUAAGUCAGCGGUGAAAUCCCGGGGCUCACCCCUGGAACUGCCGUUGGUACUGGCGGGCUUGAGUUCGGUCGAGGCGGGCGGAACUGGUGGUGUAGCGGUGAAAUGCAUAGGUACCACCAAGAACCCCGAUUGCGAAGGCAGCUCGCUGGGCCGAAACUGACGCUGAGGAACGAAAGCGUGGGGAGCGAACAGG
rnacentral:misc_RNA from 1 species